UCUCCCUACUUUGCCUACCAAUACAGACGGACGCGCACGAUCGGUCACAAAUACACGCCACUCGCUUCGUUUACUCACUCACUCUCUCUUUCUUUCUCUUUCUCUUUCUCUCUCUCUCGCUCUCUUUCGGUUCAGUCUCUGAAAAUCGUGACUCUCAACAACAGAACAAUACACGCUUUCAAUGCGGAGCGCAAAAAUAACAAGUAACACACAGAACGAACGAACGAACAAACGAAAGAUAGGAGAGAAAAAAAAAGUGUAGCGGCAGUUAAGACAAUGCCUAAUGAUGCUGACCGAACGCAAAGGAUAUCGUGCAUUUGCACUGUGUGUAUUGUUGGAAGGUAGAACAAAAAAAUAACAACAACAAAUGCUGCUGUGAUAUGAUUCGUUUGUUUGUUAAGCAAGGCCUUGCAUGGCAACUCCUCACCUUAAUCAACAAGCCGAAACUCACUCAACCACAAUCGAAACGAGAUCAAAUAAUAAAUAACAAAGAAAAGUCAAUGCAUUUUUUUUGCCAAUGUAUUCGUUGGCCAAUAAAUUUGUAUCGGAAAUUUAUGACACGCUUGCAAACCUACAUAUACAUGCAUAUUCACACACAGACACCAGAAGAAAGAGAAAAAUUUGCAUUUUUGCUAUUGGCUCAUAUAUGUAUAAAAAAAAUUCACCAAACAUUACACACUCCAAUAAUCCAAUGAUAUGGACCGAAUGUAAUACAAAAAUCGGUUAUCAUUUUCUUUAAUGGCUUUUCGAACGAUGCAAACGACACAUUUUCGUGUGUGUCGGACUUGUUCGAAAAGUGAUUUCAACAUUGAAAUGGCAUUGGAAAGUCAAGAUAAAUUGCGAUAAGUGUCUCGUUCCUUUUUCGACAAAAUCACAACACAUGCCGCACGGAAUUUAAAUGACAUUUUCGCAAUCGUGAGACACAACCAUUUCGAUUUCCAAUCAAUGUGUAAAAAUAGACAAUAAUCACAAAUCAAAAGAAUAAUUUCGUCGACACUAUCGGCGCGGAUAUCAAUGGACGCAUAUUCUCCAUGCUUUUCGUUCAUUUCAAAGGGACUUUUAUUCCGGUUUUCGGUUCUGUCGUCGAUUGAGAGAGAUAAAGACAGAGAGAAGCCAUAUAUACAAACACAAAUGAAUGUCUUGAUAUGAAAUUUCGAAUAUGUUGUUGCCCGAUCGAUGGGCUCAAAUUACAUUCACAUGCACAAUGUAUUGCGGUGUGUCAGACAAUGAUGACGCCGAAGACAACCAAGAGACGACGAUACAUUUCUUGGGAAAAUAAUUCUUAUGCUCUUCUUAUUUUUCCACUUGACCGGCUACACCCAAUAAUCGCAUCGGUACAGAACAUCAUCUCAACGCGCAACGGGGCAGCAGCAUCGACAUUGAGCAUCAAUUCGGUGUAUACUACGGUUCAAUGGAUUUUCUUAUAAGAAACCGAUCGAAUAAGAACGAACGAGCUAGAGAAAUACACACGCAACGAGAAUGGAGUGUGGUUAAGAUAAAAGCAUGCACAAAACCAGUCUUCAUCUUCUUCUUCUUUUUCAAUUAUCAUCUCUCUUCCAUUCGACGACCAAUUCUAUUCAUUCGGGAGAGUAGCCGGAGAAUCCAUAACAAUGGAAUCGCCAAAUAGCAUCAUCUCGCUCUCUCUAUCUCUCUCCGCCCGGUUUCAAAGAACAAACCGAUCAUAAAGAAUCAAUAUGCCGCUCAGUUUUUUUCUCUCUUCGAAUUACGAGGCAAAAGAACGUUUCGAGAGAGAAAAAGAUCGGAGAUGCUAAAAAAAUUACUUUGGUUUUGGAUCAAAAUACGUUGGAUUCACCUAUUUUGCUUUAAAAAAAAUCCCAAAAAAAUGCAUUUAUUCGUUGGCGGUCAAUCAAACCACUUUUGCACACUGCAGACUCGAUUGCAUUCCAUUCUUAUCGUAUGACUUAAUCUAAUGGAGCGAUAGAAACGAUAGAAACGGCAAAUCAAAAUGUCUUUCGAUUGUAUAAUCAGAUAAGUGAUGAGUGCGAUAAUUGUUGCACUGUGAGUUUCGGUCAAAACCGAACCAAUUCGCCUGCCUUAUCUGUGCGGUAUUUAGUAUUCUCGUUUGUUGAAUGGUUUUAGCCGAGCAUUUGUCGACGAUGACGUGAGCGUGUGAUAAUGCUACUUUUGCUGUCUGUGACGACGACGACGAUGAAGCAGACAUUUGAUCUUUCAUCUCCCGAGCUCACCGUUCAUGUUCACCAACACAAUCAUGGAUGAUGUGAUUCAAGUGGCAUUUGAAUUGAGUACAGGUGUAUCCAUGUGAUUUGUUUGCGUUUUGAUUAGCAUUUUAAUUAUUUAAAUACCAAGUGAAUUCGGUGUUUGCUUCUUCUUCUCCUAUUUUUAACUGAUGAUCGAAUUGCAAUAAAUGCUGUUCGGUAUCAGUUUAAUCUCGAAAAUAAACGAAAAUUUCAUGAUUUUCUGGAUUUGGUAAUAGUGUUUUGAAUAAAAAUUUAAUUUUGAUGCAACACAAAAAACAAAA